rnacentral:tRNA from 1 species
UAUGGCUCAGUGGUAGAGCACUUGCCUAGCAUGCAAAGAUCUGGAUUCAAUCCCCAGUA